AUUGAAUUUUAUUUAUAUAUGUACAAUGAAAUGUUCCAGUCACGUUAUUAAUGGCAGAGAUCUUAUUGAAAAAAAAAACUCCCAGAAUCCCACAAGUGCAUACGUUUAUGUUUGUAUUAUCUUGUAACUUUACCUUCCAAAACAAGUUCCUUGUUGCCUGAUUAACAACUCUGAGAGUCUUUCUUAGACCUGCAGUAUUUUUACAAGGUAUUGUAAUUCUCAGCCAUUAUCAGCAUUUUGUCACUGAAUGUGUGUUUAAGCCUGAAAGGUGAGCAUUGCUGUUUCUAAAAAAACAUUGCAGGGUUAAACCUACAGGGCCAUAACACCCAGGCCACUUCAUUGUGAUGAAAUGACCUGGGUGACUUCAGUGGUCCUUUAACCCCUUAACCCCGUAAGGACAGAGCCAAAUGUACACGUUGUGAACAAAACAAAAUGUAAACAAAACCUGGCAUUUGCGCUACAUGUCUGUCCAACCGUAAUUCACCUCUUUCAUAGUAAAUGCACUCACACUUAUUAUAUAUAAUUUUAUUCAGG